UACCAGCACCCCGGGUGGUCGGGACGAUUAUUGGGCCUAAAGCAUCCGUAGCCGGCCUUACAAGUCCUCCGUUAAAUCCAGCUGCUUAACAGAUGGGCUGCGGAGGAUACUAUAAGACUAGGAGGCAGGAGAGGCAAGCGGUACUCAGUGGGUAGGGGUAAAAUCCGUUGAUCCAUUGAAGACCACCAGUGGCGAAGGCGGCUUGCCAGAAUGCGCUCGACGGUGAGGGAUGAAAGCUGGGGGAGCAAACCGG
rnacentral:rRNA from 1 species